rnacentral:lncRNA from 1 species
UAAACAGAUAUUCAAGCUUCUUUUGACGCUCUCAAGGAAUAGAAAAGCUUGCAGUUAUAAUAUGCAACAUCAUGAUCAAUUUUAAGAGCAUUUUUCCUAAGAGUUACAAAAACCAAAUUUUCAAGUUGAUUGUUUUCCUCAGAUAUAACUUCACUAGCUCUAUUUGAUGCUCAUCAACUUGUAACAUAAUAUCUUGUUAAACUUAAUCUUGUAUGGAUCAGGAACGAACAUAUCAAGUUCGUUCUUCUAGUGAAGCUCCCAGUGAGAUGUGUAAAGCAAAUUGAAGCCAUUCAGCUCCAGC